CCUUUGGAGUGUUAUACCAAAUGUGAGUAGUAUAUUCUUAGGGAUUAUGAAAACAGACACGUUGAAUAAGGAA
rnacentral:ncRNA from 1 species